CGACCCCAGGUCAGGCGGGAACACCCGCUGAGUUUAAGCAUAUCAAUAAGCGGAGGAAAAGAAACUUACCAGGAUUCCCCUAGUAACGGUGAGUGAAUCGGGAAGAGCCCAGCUUGAGAAUCGGGCGCCCUCGGUGUCCGAAUUAUAGUAUGGAGAAGCGUCCUCAGUGACGGACCGGGCCCAAGUCCCCUGGAAGGGGGCGCCGGAGAGGGUGAGAGCCCCGUCAUGCUCGGACCCUGUCGCACCACGAGGCGCUGUCUGCGAUUCGGGUUGUUUGGGAAUGCAGCCCCAAUCGGGCGGUAAAUUCCGUCCAAGGCUAAAUACGUGCGAGAGACCGAUAGCGAACAAGUACCGCGAGGGAAAGAUGAAAAGGACUUUGAAAAGAGAGUCAAAGAGUGCUUGAAAUUGUCGGGAGGGAAGCAGAUGGGGGCCGGCAAUGCGCCCCGGUCGGAUGUGGAACGGCGACAAGCCGAUCCCCCGAUCGGCUCGGGGCGCGGACCGACGCGGAUCGCAGCGGCGGCCCAAGCCCGAGCACUAGAAACGCCCGCGGAGACGCCGUCGCAGCGAUCGUGGACAGCAGCGCGCGCCAUCAUGGCGUGCCCGGCACCGCCGCGCUCGGCAUCGGCGGUGGGCUCCCCAUUCGGCCGUCUUGAAACACGGACCAAGGAGUCGACAUGUGCGAGUCAGCGGGCGAGUAAACCCGUAAGCGCAAGGAAGGCGGUGGCGGGAUCCUCGAGGUUGCUGCCGGCCGACCUCGAUCUUACGAGAAGGGUUCGGUGAGAGCAUGCUGUCGGGACCGAAAGAUGGUGAACUAUGCUGGCGGGGCGAAGCGGAGAAACUCUGGUGGAGGCCCGCAGCGAUCUUGACGUGCAAAUCGUUCAUCGACUUGGGUAUAGGGGCAAAAGACUAAUCGAACCGUCUAGUAGCUUGUGCCCUCCGAAGUUUCCCUCCGGCUAGCUGGAGCUCGGCACGAGUUCUAUCGGGUAACGCCAAUGAUGAGAGGCAUAGGGGGCGCACCGCCCUCGACCUAUUCUCAAACUUUAAAUAGGUAGGGCCAGCGGCUGCUUACCGAGCGCGCCACGGAAUCGAGAGCUCCAAGUGGGCCAUUUUUGGUAGCGAGCGGCGAUGCGGGAUGAGCGGCGGGUUACGGUGCCCAAGCUGCGUGCUAACCCGAACCCACAAAGGUGUUAGUCGAUUAAGACAGCGGGGCGGUGGUCAUGGAAGUCGAAAUCCGCUAAGGAGUGUGUAACAACUCACCUACCAAAUCAACUAGCCCGAAAAUGGAUGGCGCUUAGCGCGCGACCUAUCUACGCCAUCGGGGCAAGAGCGAGCCCCGAUGAGUAGGAGGCGCGGCGGCAUUGUAAAACCGGGCGCGAGCGGCGGAGCGGCCGUCGGUGCGGAUCUUAGUGGUAGUAGUAAAUAUUCAAAUGAGAACUUUGAAGGCGAAGAGGAAAGGUUCCAUGUGAGCGGCACUUGCACAUGGGUUAGUCGAUCCUAAGAGGCGGGGAAGCCCGUCCGACAGCGCAUCCGCGUCACGAGCGAAAGGGAAUCGGGUUAAAAUUCCCGAGCGGACGCGGUGGUAGCGGCCUCGGGAAGAGUUAUCUUUUACGUUUAACAACCCGCCCACCUAGAAACGACUCGAUCGGAGGUAGGGUCCGGCUGGAAGAGAACCGCAUGUCGCGCGGUGUCGAUCGCCCCGGCCGUGAAAAUCGGAGGACCGAGUGCCUCCGCGCCCGAUCGUACUCAUAACGCAUCAGUCUCCAAGGUGAGCGACCUGCGGCCAAUGGAACAAUGUAGGCAAGGGAUGUCGGCAAAAUGGAUCCGUAACCUCGGGAAAAUGAUUGGCUCACGAGGUGGGCGGGGUCCCGAUCCGAACACGUCAUUGUCGGCAAUUCUUGGAGCGCUCCAUGGCGAGCGGUAGCAGCGUCUUGGCCGGACGGGCGAGAGCGGCCUCGGGGGCCUUCCGGCGUCGAGCGAUUGACUCGAACUAAAUGCGGAUAAGGGAAUCCAUUGUUUAAUUAAAACAAAGCAUUGCGAUGGUCCACUGCGGAUGCUCACGCAAUGUGAUUUACGCGAUGCUCUGAAUGUCAAAGUGAAGAAAUUCAACCAAGCGCGGGUAAGCGGUGGGAGUAACUAUGACUCUCUUAAGGUAGCCAAAUGCCUCGUCAUCUAAUUAGUGACGCGCAUGAAUAGACUACCGAGAUUCCCACUUGUCCUGUCAACUAUCGGCGAAACCACGGCCAAAGGAGCGGGCUUGGCGAGAAUCGUGAGGAAAGAAGACCUGUUGAGCUUCACUCUAGUCCGACUUUGUGAAAUGACUUGAGAGGUGUAGGAUAAGUGGGAGCGAAGCGGCGACGGUGAAAUACCACUACUUUUAACGUUAUUUUACUUAUUCCGUGAAUCGGAGGCGGGGCCUCGCCUCUUUUUGGACCCAAGGCGCCAUGGCGGCCGAUCCGGCGAAAGACAUUGUCGGUGGGGAGUUUGGUGGGCGGCACAUCUGUUAAAAGAUAACACGGUGUCCUAAGAUGAGCUCAACGAGAACAAAAAUCUCGUGUGGAACAAAAGGGUAAAAGCUCGUUUGAUUACGAUUUCGAUGCAGAAUCUGAACCGUGAAAGCGUGGCCUAUCGAUCCUUUAGACCUUCGGAAUUUGAAGCUAGAGGUGUCGGAAAAGUUACCACGGGGAUAAGCGGCUUGUGGCGUGCAGCGUUCAUAGCGGCGUUGCUUUUGAUCCUUCGAUGUCGGCUCUUCCUAUCAUUGUGAAGCGAAAUUCACCAAGUGUUGGAUUGUUCACCCACCAAUAGGGAGCGUGGUGGGUUUAGACCGUCGUGAGACAAGUUAGUUUUACCCUGCGAUGACCGGCGUCGCGAUGGUAAUUCAACCUAGUACGAGAGAACCGUUGAUUCGCACAAUUGGUUAUCGCGCUUGGUUGAAAAGCGAUGGCGUGAAGCUCUUGUCUUAUUUGGAUUAUGGUGAACGCCUCUAAGUCGAGAAUCCGGGCGAGCGACGCCGUGUCCGGCGCCCGCUUGCCGACCCCGGUAGGAGCCAUCCGCCCCGAGGCGCGUCCGUUGGCCAAGCCCCCGCGGCGGACGAGCCGUGCGGGCUGCCUUGAAGUACUAUUCCCACCGGGCGUCGGGCAGAAUCCUCUGCAGAUGACUUAAAUAUGCGACGGGGUAUUGUAAGUGGCAGAGUGGCCUUGCUGCCAUGAUCCACUGAGAUUCAGCCCUUUGUCGCUCAGGUCGU